CCGUAACGAGCGCAACCCUUGUCCUUAGUUACCAGGCACGUUAUGGUGGGCACUCUAAGGAGACUGCCGGUGACAAACCGGAGGAAGGUGGGGAUGACGUCAAGUCAUCAUGGCCCUUACGGCCUGGGCUACACACGUGCUACAAUGGUCGGUACAAAGGGUUGCCAAGCCGCGAGGUGGAGCUAAUCCCAUAAAACCGAUCGUAGUCCGGAUCGCAGUCUGCAACUCGACUGCGUGAAGUCGGAAUCGCUAGUAAUCGUGAAUCAGAAUGUCCACGGUCGAAUACGUUCCGGGCCUU
rnacentral:rRNA from 1 species